UUCAAGACGUUCUGUGUGAAUAAAGGGAGAUGAGGCCUUUAAGCGAUGGCACUGAAUAUCAAAUAGGAUCAAAGGGAGUGUGACAAGCAUUCAUUGGAAUUCAGUGAGAAGCAGAAGCACUGUGAGCUGAGUGGCACCGCGUUCUGGUCAGCAGAGAGGGAAAGCCGAAGCACAGCCAGCGUUCUGCAGGCAAAGACGUCUUCCACCUUCGCCACGGACACACUACAGAAUUUUUACAAGAAACCCAAACCGCAGGACUACCAGUGUCACCGCCGGUCACUACCGUGCUACUCUCAAGAUGUGACUGGACCUGAUUUGUUACCAUAGUGCAGGUCGCCAUAGUAACACACUGAAGGCUGGGCCCCAGAGGCUUGAAACCUCAUUAACUGGAAAACAGGGGGAACGUUGUUCACACGGGGGUGUGACAAGGCAACAGAUGCCAGAGGACGGCCCCCUUCGUCGUGCUCAUAAUUAAAGCACAAAAGGAGAGCGCUGGAUGGAGGGACGAAGGAGGAGUGCAGGACUUACUCCUUGGAGCACCUGGAAGCUGUCCCCACACGGCUGGAGGUCCUGGUCAGGGUCCACGCCCACCCUGUGAGGAGGGAGAGGAGUAUGGUCAGCGCAGUGAGUCAGCUGUGUGUGUGCGAGAGAAAGAGCAAGAGAGGGAGUGAAUGUGUAUGUG